UAUAUUCUGAUGUACUCUAAGUACAAGUACGGGUAACUAUGAAUUCAGAAAAGUGCAAUUUAUCAAUGCAAUGAUACCAGGCUCGCUGUGAUUCUGAAAAAAGAAGAUGAAAUCAGAUCAGAUUGGAGCUUGCCUUCUGCAGACUGGCCACAAUUUAGACGGUGGCAGGAUCCCUACAAGCCACUGGAUUUUUUUUUAUGUUGGCAGAGCAGCAGUUGUUCCAGUUAGAUGUGAAACUCUUUGUUGUGUAGGCGAUGGCCUACAUUGACAACAACGAUACAUUUGUACGUGUAGUUUAGAACAUCGUGUCAUAUGAUUAUCAGUACUAAAUCAACGGUCUAACUGUCACCAGAUGGGAGAUCGGUUAUGUGAUGAUGCACUCUGGGACUGUUGGGUGUGCAGAUAGAUUGCUCCCCCUCGGCCUGUGGUCAGCCGGAUGACGGCUGUGGCUGAACUGUGUGCGUCCUUGCCUUUUAAAACACUCCGAACUGUCACACUACGAUGAUGCAAUCUGGAUGCAACACGGGCCACGAUGAUUAAAGAAGAAAUCAUUUCAUCUAAGUAGUGUUAUCAUCUAAAUAGGAUGUCAUUUUUGCACUUUCUUUUUUGCCCCAGCGGACAUGACUUCAUGUUUACUCCGACUUCAUUGAAGGCUGGAAGGAAGACUGCCAGUGAUGAGGGAGGUUUAUACCUCUUGGAGUUCAGUUCUCAGGCGGCAGGCUCCUGACGCCUCCCAGAGGAGCCGCGGAGGAGGAGAGGAAUUCCACUGGAUUCAAAGACUGCUGCGGGUUUCUUUUGACUCUUCCAUCUGCCUCGCCUUCCACUGCUGUUGACCUGUUCCUCGUGAUCCCCUGCCAAACCGUCUUCCCGGCCCCCGCGGGGGGACUGUGCCUGCAUGUGCAUGGGCAUACGUCUUACGUGGGUGCUUGGAGGUGCCACAUUUUUCUUUUGAGCGGUCUUUGAAGAGCAGCAGUGGAGCCUGGGGAUGGAUGGGGGUGAGCCAAGCCUGGACGGCAGACAGCACCUGAGAGCGAACCUCAAACCCGGGGAUCUCAGAGAAGCCACCGUAAGGGUGGUGAAGAACAAGUGGACGGUGGUGGACCGGAAGCAAGAAGAGAAAGGAGGGGACAAGGGAAACGAGUGACAUCAAACUAAAGGGGCGCUCAAUCUCCGAGGUCUGAGUGGGAAACGCAGCCCAUCCGCUGAACAAGGCGCCCGGGAUAGAGAUGAUUGCAUCACAGGAUCAUCCAUUAGUGCUGUCAUCUGGAAUCCACCGUGGGACCGCGGUGCAGCGAGCCGCUCGGCCUCGGACCAGUUCAUUGAGCGGCGCGCGGCGUCCGCAGGAGCGACAGUCUAUCAGCAGGCCGAGUGGCUGAGGAGGCGAGGAGCAGCCACUAGUGGGCCCCAGGAAGACAUCUUCACUCCUUCCCCGAAGUCUCACCACCGCAUCCCACCAUGCCACCGUCUCCUCAACACACUCUCUCUCGGUUUGUAUUGAAGUUCAAGUGUGGACGAGUGAGUCUGAGGACAUUACAAAGAGAAUACGUCGGGUUUUCAGAAACCAGUGAAUAGUUCAUCCAUGAAACGAAAAAAUGUUUAUGAUCAUAAAACUUUGACAUUGACAUUUGACACAGAACAUGACACACACACUCACACACACCUGCAGCACCUGACACUUUGCUGGCCGGCCCAAUUCCAAGCCAUUUCCACUCCAUCUCCCUUAACUUUCUAUUGAUUUAAAAAUCAAUAGCUGCUCCACCGGAGCUGUCUGUAUGAAAUAGUAGCCUGCGAAGAAAUCUGCUUUUUGGUGGGAAAGAAUCUCAAGCUACAACUGGGGCGCCUGAAUCUUCGUACUACCGCAUGUAAUGAUGGAGAUAAAUUAAUGAGGUCAGUGUGGAAACAUUAUCUGCCGUGGCUAAGAAAAAGAAAUCAAGUGUGAACUAAAAGCAAUCAUCCUCCUUCAGACGGAGACCAGAACGAUUCCCAGAGCCGGCUCCAUCUGUUUGCUCGUGGGUUGUAAUGAACUUAUCAGUGGGCGUCGGACUUCUAUAAAAGCCUCAUCCAGGGUCUGUAAAGAUUCUCAUUAAGCCCAUCCUCAUUGUCGGCUCGAACGCAAAGUCGGCCAACAUUGUUCCGGUCCUUUCUUUUUCGCCUGCUACUCGUUCCCUCUCUCCUCUUUCCGGGAAGCGGCAGAACAAAAGGCAGCCCCGGUCCCAAUCAGCGCCUCAUGAAGGGGGGAUCCCACUCAGGUCUUAAUCAGCGCUCUGCUUAAUAGAGCGACACUUCCCAAAUAUUAUUAACCUCAUCCGUCUGCAUUAGGCCCUAAUGGCCUCCCCUCGCUGUGUAUUGUCUUUGCAGCAGCUGGUAAUGUACAUAUAUAUUAAUCCACUUUCUCUUCCCCCGCCGCCGAGAGAUUGCGCGGGCGCUCUCAGAACAAACGGUGCCCUUCAGAGAGCGAGGCAGACACAGGUUAG